rnacentral:lncRNA from 1 species
GGCGUUGUGGGAGGGGUCGGGAGGUGGAGGUGUGGGGGGGAGGGGCCUGGGCACGAGGGGAGGAGGGGCAGUGUGGGAGAAGGCGGAGCAGGUUUGGUGGUGAUGGAGGCACCGGCCUGGGCUGCAGGGAACCAGAGAUGCUGGGAAGUUCCUCUAUGACUUCUGUUUCAAGCCGUCUCUCUCCCUCCUCAGCCACGCACCGGUAACUGUGGAUGUGCUAAGACAAUGUGCGUCUGAAAGAACGGGUCAAGCCCUCCACCCAGUCACCACGUCCCUCUCACACAGGACUGUGGCCUCCUGUUACUUCGAUGUGUUAGAAGCACAAGGAAGUCUCCACCAGUCAACCUGCGCCAACGUCGCAAGAAGGAAAACGUUACUCUGCGAGAGGCUCCAGUUCCCUGACGGAGUUACCUCGAGGGUCAAAACUCGGAACAGCUAAGACACUGCCAAAACUCUGUACCUGGCAGAUGUAAGGAGACCGUCUUCUUUUCCACGUUUUCCCCAGCGUCUAGAUAUUCUAAGUGGCUCAGGGCAACGUGAUUCUGCAUCGAGGUCCUGGAAAGCAUCCAACUGCUCUAUAUAUAAUUUAAAGUUUGGCCGUUAGACUCAGAGCAGAAUUAUUUUUAAACGUGGACAAGGACACAGAAAGACAGCAGGCCGGGGGAGGAAGGGGCUGCCGAGGCAUUCCCUAGUCUAGCAGAUGACUGAGCACUGGUUCGCGGACUUACCAAAUUCUGGGAAGAAGGAGAAGGGAUGUGAGGCAUGCGGAAAAGGGUGAUGGCUAUGGAGUGUUCUUGCCGAUUAGCUCCAAGCUGUCCCCGUGGUCGGAAAGGAAGGAAAUUGCCAAGAUGAGGGACGGAGUUACAGCCUGCAGCCUGGGCAGGGCUGAGGCCCUUCGACCAACAGCCCGGAAGGAAAAGAAUCCUGCCAGCAGCGUGGGGGGCUGUGUGCAGAAGGCAGACCCUUCCCUGCGGAGCCUCAGAUGAGCCUUGAGACCCCGGCCGACACCUUGCUACAGCCUGUGACAGACUUUGGGCAGCGGCUAACAGAGCUGCCUGAGUCCCUGACCCCUGGACAGUUAUUCCUGUGACGUGAGCGUGUGCUGGUAUGCCACAAAAGUUUGGGGCUCCUUUUAGGCAGCGAUGGGGAACUAGCCCUCAGGUCAUGUGCUUCUGGAGGUCCCUACGGCCCGCAAUCUCCCCUCUCCUAUCAGGGAUUCUAUCCUAAGGCCAAAGCUACAUUAAAAAAAAAAAAAAAAAUCAGUCGAAGGUUUGAAAAAAACUAUUGAGAUACAUGUGUUGCAAAAGAAUGAGAAAGGAGACGUGGUUCUGUGUUUCCACCUUAGCUGGAGAGCUGACCCUCGAGCCGUGGGUCUGAGCUCCAGCACAGGUGGGGAAGAGUAAUGUUCACGCACAUGAACCACAACUCUGCACACAUAGACCUCAGCUUUUGCAAAACAGACAAAACCUUGGGGGAUCUGACAAGUCUCGGCCUUAUCUCUUUUUGAACUCACUCUCACAUGUUUAUUCCCAAACCACACUUGCUCAUUGCAGGAAAAGAGAAUUCUCACGGUAAUCAAAAGGAAAUAAAAAUAUCUCGAUCUGCUCACAUGUAGAUGCACGCACGUGUGCACACACACACACAGGCUUGUGGUUUUUGUCUCUCAUGACAUACCCUGAACAUAUCUCCAUGUCAAUAGAUACUUAUCUUCAGAAUAGUAACAAUAAUUGAAAACUUCCAGUGUGUGUUUUUUUGAGGCAUGUGACUCUUUUCUUUUUUUAAUGUUUAUUUAUUUAUUUUGAGAGAGCACGUGCAGGAGGGACAGAGAGACUGAGGGAGAGAAAGGAAGAGAGAGAAUCCCACGUGGGCUCUGGGCAGUCAGCACAGAGCCCGACGUGGGGCUGGAACUCGUGUACUGUGAGAUGAUGGCCUAAGCGUCUGAUGCUUAAUGACUGAACCCCCAGGCGCCCCUCAGGUGUAUAUUUUUACAAUAAUUUACUUAACCUAUUGUCAUGUUUGGA